GAUGAUCUGGCUUCCGUCUGGAGGAAGAGUCCAUCACCAAGGCCGAUCUUGAGAGUCAGAGCACAACAGACGGAGAGUACAUCAAAGAAAUGAAGAAGGAGGUAGAAGAACUAAGAAAAAAACUCAAGAACGGGAACCAUAGAAGCUAACAGGGCAUUUGAGAUGGAGGAAUUGGAGAUUAAUCUGAGAGCUAGUGUGGAAGAACUUCAAGCUAAGGUGAUGGACAUGGAAAGGGAAAAGGAAAGAACAAGAUAAAGUCCUGUUGGAAAAUAUUGAGAUGAUAAAGUCCCUCAAGACGAGCAAUGAGGCCUUGAAAAAUGACAUCAGUGAACGUGAGCAGAAGAUCCAACUCCUGGAAUCAAAGCAGGAGGAAGACGGUGCAAAAUCAAGGGAGAAGUCAACAGAAAUUGGCGAGAAGGAUGCGAAGAUUAGGGAGCUACAGCUUGAGGUUGAGAGGAAAGGGAAGGACUUUGAAGAUGUGUCCCAGCAGGUGGAGGAGGUCCUACAGGACAUCGUUAAGGAGAGACAAGAAAAAGA